rnacentral:rRNA from 1 species
CGCCGCGUGAGGGAUGACGGCCUUCGGGUUGUAAACCUCUUUCAGCACAGACGAAGCGAAAGUGACGGUAUGUGCAGAAGAAGGACCGGCCAACUACGUGCCAGCAGCCGCGGCAAUACGUAGGGUCCGAGCGUUGUCCGGAAUUAUUGGGCGUAAAGGGCUCGUAGGCGGUCUGUCGCGUCGGGAGUGAAAACCAGGUGCUUUAACACCUUGGCUUGGCUUUCCGAUACGGGCAGACUAGAGGUACUUCAGGGGAGAAAUGGAAUUCCNUGGUGUAGCGGUGAAAUGCGCAGAAUAUCAGGAGGAACACCGGUGGCGAAGGCGGUUNNUUUGGGAGUUAUCCNUGACGCNUGAGGAGCGAAAGUUGUGGGGAGCGAACAGGANUUAGAAUACCCNUGGUAGUNCNAGGG